GAGUGUUUAGUUUAAACAUAAAACAUAGGCUUGUCAAGCCUAAAAAACUAAAAGUAACCCUCU
rnacentral:tRNA from 1 species